rnacentral:rRNA from 1 species
GACGAACGCUGGCGGCGUGCUUAACACAUGCCAGUCGAACGGAAAGGCCCUGCGUUUGUGGGGUGCUCGAGUGGCGAACGGGUGAGUAACACGUGAGUAACCUGCCCUUGACUUUGGGAUAACUUCAGGAAACUGGGGCUAAUACCGGAUAGGAGCUCCUGCUGCAUGGUGGGGGUUGGAAAGAUUCGGCGGUUGGGGAUGGACUCGCGGCUUAUCAGCUUGUUGGUGGGGUAGUGGCUUACCAAGGCUUUGACGGGUAGCCGGCCUGAGAGGGUGACCGGCCACAUUGGGACUGAGAUACGGCCCAGACUCCUACGGGAGGCAGCAGUGGGGAAUAUUGCACAAUGGGCGGAAGCCUGAUGCAGCAACGCCGCGUGCGGGAUGACGGCCUUCGGGUUGUAAACCGCUUUCGCCUGUGACGAAGCGUGAGUGACGGUAAUGGGUAAAGAAGCACCGGCUAACUACGUG